UGUAAGUAUGAUUCCAACAAUAUUUUCUCGCUUUCGUGUGAAACAUGUUUGCAUGCUUAAUAUGAACUUCUGGAUAUUCAGGGGUAGUGAUUGAAACUAAUAUUGUGAAAUGUAGAAACUAGAUUUUAGGUGUGCUGACCAGGUUUUUGAAUUUGUGCGACACUUAUUCUUGUGCACGUUACUUCCUUUUGCAUGUAAAGUUGCUGUGGGCAUAUGCAACAUCUUGGUUUCUUAUUGCAUUAAGUGCAGAUGGAUUAAUGUGGG
rnacentral:lncRNA from 1 species